UAGUCCUGAUGCCACUUUAAUACUGCAGGGUAUUUCUGUGACUUCCGCCAGUCACAGAGCUUGAGAUAAAUGGAUGGUUUUUGCUUGUUUGUGAUUUGCCUUUUGAAGCAUGUUUAUGAUUCCAUUUGUGCGUUUGUCAGAAAUACUGCUUUGAGCCAAGAUUAAUAGUGAUUUAUUUGUUUUGUAAGGGGCUGCAGUCUUGCAGUGAUAUCUGGAGUACUCUAUGGAUCUACAUUUGUGCCAAUCAUCUACAUCAAGGACCACAGCAAAAGAAAUGAUAGUAUAUAUGCAGGGGCAAGCCAAUAUGAUUUAGACUAUGUUUUUGCGCACUUCAGUGGCAUCUUUCUUACAAGUACUGUCUACUUUCUGGCCUACUGCAUAGCCAUGAAAAAUAGUCCUAAACUAUAUCCUGAAGCAGUCCUACCAGGAUUCCUGUCAGGAGUACUUUGGGCUAUAGCUACCUGCUGUUGGUUCAUAGCAAAUCACUCUCUGAGUGCUGUGGUCAGUUUUCCAAUAAUCACUGCUGGUCCAGGAUUUAUAGCUGCAAUGUGGGGUGUC
rnacentral:sRNA from 1 species